rnacentral:rRNA from 1 species
AAGUUUUCGGACGGAAUCCGGUAGAUCGAGUGGCGGACGGGUGAGUAACGCGUGGGGAACCUGCCUCAUACAGGGGGAUAACAGUUGGAAACGACUGUUAAUACCGCAUAAGACCACAGAGUCGCAUGACUCAGGGGUAAAAACUCCGGUGGUAUGAGAUGGACCCGCGUUCGAUUAGCCAGUUGGCGGGGUAACGGCCCACCAAAGCGACGAUCGAUAGCCGAUUUGAGAGAAUGACCGGCCACAUUGGGACUGAGACACGGCCCAAACUCCUACGGGAGGCAGCAGUGGGGAAUAUUGCACAAUGGGGGGAACCCUGAUGCAGCGACGCCGCGUGAGUGAAGAAGUAUUUCGGUAUGUAAAGCUCUAUCAGCAGGGAAGAAGAUGACGGUACCUGAGUAAGAAGCCCCGGCUAACUACGUGCCAGCAGCCGCGGUAAUACGUAGGGGGCAAGCGUUAUCCGGAUUUACUGGGUGUAAAGGGAGCGCAGACGGCUAUGCAAGUCUGAAGUGAAAGCCCGGGGCUCAACCCCGGGACUGCUUUGGAAACUGUGUAGCUAGAGUGUCGGAGAGGUAAGCAGAAUUCCCGGUGUAGCGGUGAAAUGCGUAGAUAUUGGG